rnacentral:rRNA from 1 species
GACAGAGGGUGCAAACGUUGUUCGGAAUUACUGGGCGUAAAGCGCGUGUAGGCUGUUCUGCAAGUCGGGUGUGAAAGCCCCGGGCUCAACCUGGGAAGUGCACUCGAAACUGCAGAACUCGAGUCCUGGAGAGGAAGGCGGAAUUCUCGGUGUAGAGGUGAAAUUCGUAGAUAUCGAGAGGAACACCGGUGGCGAAGGCGGCC